AACUCCACCUCCACCUCUUUGAAUUGCCCUUGCAAUUGAGUGAGUCAAUCCUCCCACUCCAGCAAAAACAGCUCCAGCCUACCUUGGGGCCAUUCAGCGGGCCCAACCCCCCAGACCUAACAAUCGGGCCAUUCUCACGCGCCUGUCCGUUUGAGGUGAGAUUUUGGGUCAGGCACGUGCGGUUCGCAAGAGUUCAAGUUUUUGGGCCAACCAAAAGUAGGUAGCGAGGCCCGCUUGGCAGACGCCCUCACACCCGAUUGAGAGGGGCGACUUGGUUUACGAUGGCAUGACUCAAUUAGGCUAUGAAAAGUCUCACUGCGAGUUUAGCUUUGGGACCGAACAGAGACGUGUAACCCUUUCUAUGGCUGCAAUAUUGCUUCCUUUUCCACUUUGGUGCAAAGACCUAAUAUU